rnacentral:rRNA from 1 species
GAGUUUGAUCCUGGCUCAGGACGAACGCUGACGGUGUGCUUUAGGCAUGCAAGUCGAACGAGAAAGCCCUUCGGGGUUAGUAAAGUGGCGAACGGGUGAGUAACACGUGGGCAACCUGCCCCUCGCAGGGGGACAACCGGAGGAAACUCCGGCUAAUACCCCGUACGCUUGUUGGAUCGCAUGGUCCGGCAAGGAAAGGUAGCUUCGGCCAUCCGGCGAGGGAUGGGCCCGCGUUGCAUUAGCUAGUUGGUGGGGUAACGGCCCACCAAGGCAACGAUGCGUAACUGGUCUGAGAGGAUGAUCAGCCACACUGGGACUGAGACACGGCCCAGACUCCUAUGGGAGGCAGCAGCCAGGAAUCUUGGGCAAUGGGCGAAAGCCUGACCCAGCAACACCGUGUGGGUGACGAAGGCCUUAGGGUCGUAAAGCCCUGUUGAUAGGGACGAAGGGCGAAGGGUUAAUAGCCCCUAGCUUGACGGUACCUUUCGAGGAAGCCCCGGCUAACUACGUGCCAGCAGCCGCGGUAAUACGUAGGGGGCGAGCGUUGUCCGGAAUUAUUGGGCGUAAAGAGCGUGUAGGCGGUUCGGUAAGUCUGCUGUGAAAUCCUGGGGCUCAACCCUGGGCGUGCAGCGGAUACUGCCGGGCUAGAGGGUGGUAGAGGCGAGUGGAAUUCCGAGUGUAGCGGUGAAAUGCGCAGAUAUUCGGAGGAACACCAGUAGCGAAGGCGGCUCGCUGGGCCACACCUGACGCUGAAACGCGAAAGCGUGGGGAGCGAACAGGAUUAGAUACCCUGGUAGUCCACGCCGUAAACGAUGGAUACUGGUGUGGGCCGAGUCCAAUUCUGUCUGUGCCGAA